rnacentral:rRNA from 1 species
CCUACGGGUGGCAGCAGUGGGGAAUAUUGGACAAUGGGGGCAACCCUGAUCCAGCCAUGCCGCGUGUGUGAAGAAGGCCCUCGGGUUGUAAAGCACUUUCAGUGAGGAAGAACGCCUGGUGGUUAAUACCCAUCAGGAAAGACAUCACUCACAGAAGAAGCACCGGCUAACUCCGGGCCAGCAGCCGCGGUAAUACGGAGGGUGCGAGCGUUAAUCGGAAUUACUGGGCGUAAAGCGAGCGUAGGUGGCUUGAUAAGCCGGUUGUGAAAGCCCCGGGCUCAACCUGGGAACGGCAUCCGGAACUGUCGAGCUUGAGUGCAGGAGAGGAAGGUAGAAUUCCCGGUGUAGCGGUGAAAUGCGUAGAGAUCGGGAGGAAUACCAGUGGCGAAGGCGGCCUUCUGGACUGACACUGACACUGAGGUUCGAAAGCGUGGGUAGCAAACAGGAUUAGAUACCCGUGUAGUC